CCAAUUUGAGUUCUUCAGAGGCCCAAUUGCCCCAGGAUUAAGCUAAUGGGAUCACCUCCCAUUUCUAACUUAAUCAAAGUGCUAACUACGAUUAUUUCCUAAGACAUAUUCUGCAGCUUGCUUCGGUACGUCACUCGCUUCUUCCGGCGAGUUUCCGACGAACUUCCGUCGAUCAUCCGAUGAACCCUCGGUGAUGCUCCUGCGGACUUCCGGCAAACUCCUGGACUGCGAUGAUCCACUUGGCAAGUUCCGACGAGCUCCUUUGGCAAGCUUCUGGACUUCUCGGAUUUGUUCCCGCAGA
rnacentral:lncRNA from 1 species